ACCUCGCACAGAAACUAAUUUGGUUGUUUUGAUCAAUAGAGUGAGAGAGAGAACCAAGAAAGCAGAAGGGAAGAAGAGAUUUCCAAUCGCAAACAAAUCUCCAUGACUCCUUCAUUUUUUUCUCUGUUACCCGACACCUGUUUUUCUCUGUUACCCGACACCUGUCUACCGUCUCAAAACUCCCGCGUCUUUCUUCUCGACACCUGGUCUGCUGCUCAGUCUUCGCUACUUCGCUGCACAGAGAGGUGGAGAAAGAGAGAGAGAGAGAGAGAGCGAAGAAGGUGGUACUGUUCGUUGGCAUCUACGAUUCGGAUUCUAUCUACAUGGAGAGAGGCGUCUAUCUACAGUAAUAUUUGCUGAGCCAGAUUAUCGGGUUUACUGAUCGAUCAAAGCUGGAUAGAGUUUGGGUUCUUCUUGAUUCAUCGAGAAGAAAGCAGACAGUUCAGCGAAAGAGCCCGGUUUCAAUCCCAGUGGCUGCUCUUGACCUUGAUAAUGAAGAAACUACAAAAGAAGAGAGUGAGAAAGAGAAGGUAGAGCCUGAAAUUGUUGUUGUGAAUGAAGAAAAGAAAACAUGAGAAGAUGAGAAGAAGGGUGAGAGGUCUGGUGCUUCGUGCUCAAGCUUGAAUUUUCCUUGCAUGGAUAAGCUCAGGGAUGAGCUUUCGCUUUCUUGAGAGGUUUUUAGCCCAUCGAAGAAGUAGUGGAUCGGAGAUUGAACCCAGAAGAAGAAACCGUUAUGGUUUCUGAGAUGCUUAUCAUCUUGGCUACCAGAAAAGUCCACCGUAGAAGCACCCAAAGCUUCAGUUACAGAAAGCCACCCAUUACUCUUCCAAAGAUCUUUGCUUUCAACUCUUUCCUCAAUCGGAGGCCACUUUGCUUGGAUCAAGAAGCUUCGACCAGCCAAGAAGGAAGACAUUUGAGACUUGGAUUUAUAUAUGCUCCAUUUAUUGAUUUAUAUAUCAUUGAAGGUAGACAGAACUCUCCAGAAACCUUGAUAUUUAGGUUUUGAUGGCAGUUAAUAGCAUCGAUCAGGCUCUGAGAUAGAGAGGUUAGGCUGAAAACGAGUAGGAGAGGUUGCUGGGGUGGGAAAGAGAAGAGGAGGGGUUCAAGAUUGUGAUGGACUUAGAGACGAUACACCAGGGCCUUGCCUCUUCCUAAUAAUCAGGGGAUGAAGAAGAGGAUGAAGAGCAGCAAUAUCAUUGUUCAGAUAGCCAAAAGUUUGAGGAGCAAAUUUUGUCUUCUUGGUGUCUCUUUUGGGAUACGGACUAUGAUCCGGCUUUAAAUCAUAGUCCAUUCUCAACCCGAUAGGCGAACAUUCUCUAUAAGAGAGGUGGAGAGAGAUAGAGAGAGACAGAGAGAGCGAGGAAAGUGGUGAUUUCUUGGACAGUUGGGUUGUAUUUUGUCGAAUCAAAAGAACCUCUCGGUGUAGCGACCUCUACUGCAUCUCUUUCUUCGGGAAGCCUCUGUUUGCACCGACCUCCACUGUUACACCCAAAUACCCAAAUCGUUGAUCCCAAUCGUGCCACUACUGAUUCCUCCGUGUCUUCUACAGCCGUAUAAACGACAUUGAGAGAGUUAGUGAGAAGCAGAAAGAAAGCAGCUGAGAGAAAAAGAGAGAGAGGGUUCGUAUCGGUGCAACCCAGCUACAACCGAUUGUUACAUCAAUGUUUUCCUCCAUGAUCGAGAGAUAGAGUCGUCGUUUGGAGGAGUUUUUGAUGGUGCAACCCAGAGCUUUGUUGCUUGCGAUUUGUGAAUUUGGAUUUUGAUCAAGGAAUAGAUUCGGCAAAGAAGACCUCAUUUGG